rnacentral:piRNA from 1 species
CACAUCUAUGGAGAAUGCCUUUAUACACGCU